UAACACGUAUGCAACCUGCCCUCUUCAGGGGGACAACCUUCCGAAAGGGAGGCUAAUCCCGCGUAUAUCGGUUUCGGGCAUCCGAGAUCGAGGAAAGAUUCAUCGGAAGAGGAUGGGCAUGCGGNGCAUUANCUUGACGGCGGGGUAACGGCCCACCGUGGCGACGAUGCGUAGGGGUUCUGAGAGGAAGGUCCCCCACACUGGNACUGANACACGGACCANACUCCUACGGGAGGCAGCAGUGAGGAAUAUUGGUCANUGGGAGAGAUCCUGAACCAGCCAAGCCGCGUGAGGGAAGACGGCCCUAUGGGUUGUAAACCUCUUUUGUCGGAGAACAAAACCCGGGACGUGUCCCGGACUGCGUGUAUCCGAAGAAAAAGCAUCGGCUAACUCCGUGCCAGCAGCCGCGGNAAUACGGAGGAUGCGAGCGUUAUCCGGAUUUAUUGGGUUUAAAGGGUGCGUANGCGGUCCGUUAAGUCNGCGGUAAANUUGCGGGGCUCAACCCCGUCGAGCCGUUGGAACUGGCAGACUUGAGUUGGCGAGAAGUACGCGGAAUGCGCGGUGUAGCGGUGAAAUGCAUAGAUAUCGCGCAGAACUCCGAUUGCNAAGGCWGCGUACCGGCGCCACACUGACGCUGAGGCACGAAAGCGUGGGGAUCGAACAGGAUUAGAUACCCUGGUAGUCCACGCAGUAAACGAUGAAUGCUGGUUU
rnacentral:rRNA from 1 species